GUUAUUCCUAACUGUGCAAAGGUAGCAUAAUCAUUAGUCUUUUAAUUGGAGGCUAGAAUGAAUGGUUGCAUGAAAUAUUAACUGUUUCAAUUUAAUUUAAUUUAGAAUUUAAUUUUUUAGUUAAAAAGCUAAAAUUUUUUUAAAAGACGAGAAGACCCUAUAAAUCUUUAUAAUUNUAUUUUAUAAUUAANUAUUUUGAAUAAUUAAUUUUUUAUAUAAUAAAUUAUUUUAUUGGGGUGAUAUUAAAAUUUAUAAAACUUUUAAUUUAUAAUUAACAUAAAUUAAUGAAUUAUNUGAUCCAUUUNNUUAUGAUUAUAAAAUUAAGUUACUUUAGGGAUAACAGCNGUAAUUUUUUUAGAGAGUUCAUAUUAAUAAAAAAGAUUGCGACCUCGAUGUUGGAUUAAGAUAUAA
rnacentral:rRNA from 1 species